ensembl:lncRNA novel transcript
UUUGUCAGACUCUUACAUUGACAGGGUGAAGACACUACCCAGGAGAAAACAGUGAGGGCAGGGUUCAAGGCCAACUCCCACACAGUCAGGAGAAAUGUGGAUGCAAUUGUGCUGUCGAUUUUAAAGGUCUGCAUCUCCUCAUCCCUAUCCGAUUUUAAAGGUCUGCAUCUCCUCAUCCCUAUCCGAAUGCGUUUCCUUCUUUAAGAACGUGAUUCUAAACGGAAGCGCUCUACAUGGUGUGAGCCUGUUACCAAGAAUACAUCUCCCGAGA